rnacentral:tRNA from 2 species
GGGAAGAUAAUCCUAGCGGCGAUGGUAGCAGUCUGUAAAACUGUGACGUAAGAUACAACGAAGGUUCGAGUCCUUCUCUUCCCACCA